CCUAAUUUGCACAUUUUAAGUUCUCUCUCAAGUUUAGAUAUAACUGUUAUAAUUUAAAGCUUGCUCUAGACCUAAACUUGUGGGAUGAAAACUUGAUCUGAAGUCUAAGUUGUUAACGGAUACGAUAUGGGAAGGUUGAGCUGCUGUUUAUCUGUUCCUAGAGAUGCUAGAAUUCUAGAGAAUUUUAUCUUUGAAAAUCUUUAAAAUGUUGCAUGAUGAGUUCCUGUAUGAUGAGAGUUUUAAAUUCCUACCACAGCCAUAUAUACAUGCUUGCUAGACUUUGAGCCACACAUUUAAUAUUUACUGCUUAUGAGCAUUGAGUGUGGUCAAGCUGUGUAGACCCUUAGGAGCUUAUCAUGUGGUUAAAUCAAGAUUUCACUUGCACGUCCACUCAUAUAUGCUACUUCUACUCCGGAAGUACCAUCCACAUAUAUCCAUCCAUUUCCAUCUCCAGAACCACCUAAAAAUAUUCUACUCCUAAUCCGGGAGAGAAUAACCAAAAAUAUUUCUGUUUUCCACUUGUGAAAUAAAUGCUCAAGUUAUCUUGUUACUACCACUUGCUAUAUUAUCUCAAGAGAUGAAUGCUCUAAUUAAAAAAAAAGAAAGAGAGAAGAUACGAGGAAAUAAAAAGGAGCAAGUGCUCGGAACCUCGAAAGAAAAGAAAAAGUGAGACGAGAGGUAAAAAUGGACAAGUGUCCGACAGUAGAAUUAGGGGUACAAGAUACCCACCUGAGAGAAAAGAAAAAGAAGAGCAUCUCAUUGUCCUCAUAAAAUUUCAAAAAGCAAGGAAGGUAUGUAUCCCCUCAAAAGAGCAAAAGUAGAAUUAGACUUCCACCACCAUUGUUUUCACCAUUGUUAUCACUAUCAUCACCAUACAUCAUUCAUCCGCCACACAUGCACAUCUUGAUUUGGCUUAUUGAUUUGUUUCUUUGGAUCCAUGGUUUGACUAUGCAAUAAAUGUCUUGUAAGUAUGUAUACUUUAUCUCCCACCUAUGAGCUCCAGAUAUUAAAGCCUUAUUAGAGUAGGGUGAGAGAGAAGGCAAUGUUACUAUGCUUUAUACCACAAAUACUACAUAUCUUGAGAGAAGGCAUAUACCAUCACUGCCUUGGUAAGGAUCCAGAAAUACCACAAAAGAGAGACCUGAGAGAAUCAUACAAGGAAUCUCUGAGUUUUAUUUGAAAAUCUGCAAAAACCCCAGAGCUAUAGCUGAUCAAGAAUAAGAGACAUGGCACUUGGCUAGACUGUUCUAUCUUUUAACCACUCA
rnacentral:lncRNA from 1 species